rnacentral:lncRNA from 10 species
CGGGGAGACUGAGGCAUGGCGGGAUGCAGGUCCCAAGCCCUUCCCCGCGGGGAGGCAGCUAAGGCCCGGCAAGAAAUCGAGCACAGCAGCUGCUAGCGCAGGUGCUAAGCCCCUCACUGCCCGGGGCUUGCGGGCCGGCCUGCUGCUCCGAGUGCUGGGCCAGCCGAGCCCACGCCCCCCCGGAACUGGCGCUGGCCCGCAAGCGCCGCGCGCAGCCCCAGUUUCCGCCCGCGCCUCUCCCUCCACGCCUCCUCGCAAGCUGAGGGAGUCGGCUCCGGCCUUGGCCAGCCCAGAAAGGGGCUCCCACAGUGCAACGGUGGGCUGAAGGGCCAGAGUGGGCGCCAAGGGCGAGGAGGCGCCGAGAGCGAGUGGGGGCUGCCAGCACGGUGUCACCUCUCACCAGUAGUUGUGAUUUUUGCUGUCACCCCCAUGGAUUAUGAAUUCACUUUGUCUGGGUAACAGUGGAAACCCUCGGAAGUUGUUUCCACUGUUUCAUCUAAAAGAAGUCGCCAAAACGAAGUUUUCUCAGUGCCAAAGCAUGGACUCAGAUGGUCAUUGCUUCCUGUUCACCUCCUGCCAUGAUUGUAAGUUUCCUGAUGCCUGCAAGUCAUGCUUCCUGUUAAGCCUG